UACGAACCGUGCAAACGUUGUUCGGAAUCACUGGGCUUAAAGGGCGCGUAGGCGGGCCGGCCAGUCUGUGGUGAAAGCCCUCGGCUUAACCGGGGAAGUGCCGUGGAUACUGCCGGCCUCGAGGAGGGUAGGGGCAUCUGGAACAGUAGGUGGAGCGGUGAAAUGCGUUGAUAUCUACUGGAACUCCGGUGGCGAAGGCGAGGUGCUGGACCCUUUCUGACGCUGAGGCGCGAAAGCCAGGGGAGCAAACGGG
rnacentral:rRNA from 1 species